UCUGGCCUUGGCAGUAAACAUCAGUAGUCCGGGAAGAAAACAUAAUUAUGACAUAAUAUAAGCUAAUAAAAAACACAAUGAAGAUUGUCACAUGUUAAGACCCAGGGGUAGGCCUGGGGUAUGAAUACUUUUACAAGGCACUUAAUAAAGCUAUGCAUCGUCUAACCUGUCUAAUCUGGUGCUGAAUUUUACUUGGAUAAACUACCUUUUGCUA